CCUACGGGGGGCAGCAGUGGGGAAUAUUGCACAAUGGGGGAAACCCUGAUGCAGCGACGCCGCGUGAGUGAAGAAGUAUUUCGGUAUGUAAAGCUCUAUCAGCAGGGAAGAAAAUGACGGUACCUGACUAUGAAGCCCCGGCUAACUACGUGCCAGCAGCCGCGGUAAUACGUAGGGGGCAAGCGUUAUCCGGAUUUACGGGGUGUAAAGGGAGCGUAGACGGCAGAGCAAGUCUGGAGUGAAAGCCGGGGGCUCAACCCAGGAACUGCUUUGGAAACUGUGCAGCUGGAGUGCAGGAGAGGUAAGCGGAAUUCCUAGUGUAGCGGUGAAAUGCGUAGAUAUUAGGAGGAACACCAGUGGCGAAGGCGGCUUACUGGACUGUAACUGACGUUGAGGCUCGAAAGCGUGGGGAGCAAACAGGAUUAGAUACCCGGGUAGUC
rnacentral:rRNA from 1 species